ACUAGCAGCAAUAUCACCCUGCAACUCACAGCUGGCACCCCACAGAAGCUAAGCAGGUGUGAGACUAGUCAGUACCUGGAUGGGAGACCUCCUGGGAUAAACUAAGGCUGCUGCUGGAA
rnacentral:rRNA from 1 species